AUUGAACGCUGGCGGCAGGCCUAACACAUGCAAGUCGAGCGAGCGGCGGACGGGUGAGUAAUGUAUGGGGACUGCCCGAUAGAGGGGGAUAACUACAGGAAACGGUAGCUCAUACCGCACACCACCGGAUAACCCAAAUGGAAUUAGCUAGUAGGUGAGGUAAUGGCUCACCUGGGCGACGAUCCCUAGCUGGUCUGAGAGGAUGAUCAGCCACACUGGGACUGAAACACGGCCCAGACUCCUACGGAGGCAGCAGUGGGGAAUAUUGCACAAUGGGCGCAAGCCGGAUGCAGCCAUGCCGCGUGUAUGAAGAAGGCCCUAGGGUUGUAAAGUACUUUCAGUCGGGAGGCGUUACCGGCAGAAGAAGCACCGGCUAACUCCGUGCCAGCCGCCGCGGUAAUUC
rnacentral:rRNA from 1 species